UUGCCCGAUGAUUAUAAAAAAGACGCGUUAUUAAGAGGACUUAUGCUGGAGUUCUUUUCUUUUUUUCUCUCUUUUCUGUCUUCUUUUUCUUUCUUUGAAUGUCCAGCGUCCUGUGAGCGAAGAUUAUGAGAUAUGAGGGCAA
rnacentral:snoRNA from 1 species